rnacentral:lncRNA from 1 species
GACAUUCUAGAAUGUCAGGUACAACAGAGACAGCUGUUUGUCCCCCAGUAUCCUUCAGACAAAGCCAUAUAUGAUUGAAGGUUAUCAGUACUGUGCUUUUGGAGGAUUCAGAAGAAGUUAUAUCUGAUUGGGAGAUUGAAAAGGAUUGGCCUGAAGGAGAGGUGGUUUUUGAACUGCAUCUUAAAGGAUGAGGAAACUGAGGCUGAGAGGGUAGAGAACUUUGCCUGAGGUCACUCAGCAGGGACCCACCCAUCACAGUAAAUGCCAGCACUGCUGAUGCCAAAACAAUGUUAUUUGUAGGCCCUCGGAAUUUGUGACCUGAAGGAAGAAGAGCAGGGCCGUGGGAAGUAUGUAACCAGUGUCAUGCCCCUGGUCCCAAGGAAGCAGUGGCUUGGUAAAGAGGGGACCCCCGUCAAUAACUCCCUGUAAUUACUGGGCACCCACUCUGAGCUCCUCAGUGGAAUCCUAAGGUUAAUAAGACUGUCUCUAGCCACUGGGGCUCCCAGCCUGGAGUGAGGCCUGAACACCCUGUCCUACCUGGUCCUACCUGGAUGCUGGCCUCAGUAAGCUCCUGGGCUCAUUGAAGAUGAACCUAGCAGUAGUAUUUACACCACUUGUUGUGUGCCCACUGUGGGCCCGGCGCCAUGCCGAGUGCUCUAUGGAUGUGAGAUGAGAACACUGAAGCAGUUUUUUCUAAAGAUAGCUGCCUGGCACAGUGGCUCACAUCUGUAGUCCCAGCAUUUGGGGAGGCCAAGGCAGGUGGAUCACUUGAGGCCAGGAAUUCAAGACCAGCAUGGCCAACAUGUGCUGGGAGAGAAAAGCAUACGACAUAGACAGGGAGGUCAAGCUCCACCACGCAGAUGAGGUGCAGGCCACCAGUCUUCCUCUGCCACAUCUCUUUCUGAAAAGGACUUCACAUUCACCCUUGCAAUCCAUGUGGGGACACUGUUGGAUAGGAGGCGUGGUCCCAGCGUGGUCUCCCUGUCUGGGCCUCUGCCUAUGCCAAAUGUUUGCCUUACGCUGCACACUCAAGAGGUUCCAUGUAUACAGAUGGGAAUUCCAGAGCUACAGAAAAGGCAGCAAGCACCAUGAUUUAAGCUAACCAGUGUGGAUUCACACCUUCCUCUCUCUCUAUCAGUGGCAGAACUACCAGCUAGAGUAAGAAGUGGUUGAUCCAGGACCUAAACAUUCUGGAAACUCUUGCCCACUUCUGGGAGAAAUGACCCAAUCCAUAGUACUAAGCACACCUUAACUUUCGUAGGACGCAGGCAAGUUGUCAUACCGUGUGCCUAAAUAUAGAAAAAUGAUCCACUGGACUAAUAAAGUGUUAAAUAAAAU